rnacentral:rRNA from 1 species
ACGGGAGAGUAACGCGUGGGAACGUACCUUUUGGUUCGGAACAACACAGGGAAACUUGUGCUAAUACCGGAUAAGCCCUUACGGGGAAAGAUUUAUCGCCGAAAGAUCGGCCCGCGUCUGAUUAGCUUGUUGGUGAGGUAACGGCUCACCAAGGCGACGAUCAGUAGCUGGUCUGAGAGGAUGAUCAGCCACAUUGGGACUGAGACACGGCCCAAACUCCUACGGGAGGCAGCAGUGGGGAAUAUUGGACAAUGGGCGAAAGCCUGAUCCAGCCAUGCCGCGUGAGUGAUGAAGGCCCUAGGGUUGUAAAGCUCUUUUGUGCGGGAAGAUAAUGACGGUACCGCAAGAAUAAGCCCCGGCUAACUUCGUGCCAGCAGCCGCGGUAAUACGAAGGGGGCUAGCGUUGCUCGGAAUCACUGGGCGUAAAGGGUGCGUAGGCGGGUCUUUAAGUCAGGGGUGAAAUCCUGGAGCUCAACUCCAGAACUGCCUUUGAUACUGAGGAUCUUGAGUUCGGGAGAGGUGAGUGGAACUGCGAGUGUAGAGGUGAAAUUCGUAGA